rnacentral:rRNA from 1 species
UACGUAGGGUGCGAGCGUUAAUCGGAAUUACUGGGCGUAAAGCGUGCGCAGGCGGUUCGUUGUGUCGGUGGUGAAAGCCCCGGGCUUAACCUGGGAAUGGCCAUGGAAACUGGCGAACUGGAGUGUGGCAGAGGGGGGUGGAAUUCCACGUGUAGCAGUGAAAUGCGUAGAGAUGUGGAGGAACACCGAUGGCGAAGGCAGCCCCCUGGGUCAAGAUUGACGCUCAUGCACGAAAGCGUGGGGAGCAAACAGG